UACAGAGGGUGCGAGCGUUGUCCGGAAUUAUUGGGCGUAAAGAGCUUGUAGGUGGUUUGUCGCGUCUGCUGUGAAAAUCCGAGGCUCAACCUCGGACUUGCAGUGGGUACGGGCAGACUAGAGUGUGGUAGGGGAGACUGGAAUUCCUGGUGUAGCGGUGGAAUGCGCAGAUAUCAGGAGGAACACCGAUGGCGAAGGCAGGUCUCUGGGCCAUUACUGACACUGGAGAAGCGAAAGCCAUGGGGAGCGA
rnacentral:rRNA from 1 species